rnacentral:rRNA from 1 species
GAUGAACGCUGGCGGCGUGCUUAACACAUGCAAGUCGAACGGAAAGGCCCAAGCUUGCUUGGGUGCUCGAGUGGCGAACGGGUGAGUAACACGUGGGUGAUCUGCCCUGCACUUUGGGAUAAGCCUGGGAAACUGGGUCUAAUACCGGAUAGGACCAUCGUUUAGUGUCGGUGGUGGAAAGUUUUUCGGUGUGGGAUGAGCUCGCGGCCUAUCAGCUUGUUGGUGGGGUAAUGGCCUACCAAGGCGUCGACGGGUAGCCGGCCUGGGAGGGUGUACGGCCACAUUGGGAAUGAGAUACGGCCCAGAAGCCGACGGGAGGAAGAAGUGGGGAAGAUUGCACAAGGGGCGCAAGCCUGAUGCAGCGAAGCCGCGGGGGGGAGGACGGGCUUCGGGUUGGAAACUCCUUUCGCCAAGGACGAAGCGUUUUGUGACGGUACUUGGAGAAGAAGCACCGGCUAACUACGUG